UAGGGAAUAUUGCUUAAUGGGCGCAAGCCUGAAGCAGCAACGCCGCGUGUGCGAUGACGGCCUUCGGGUUGUAAAGCACUUUUCACCGGGAAGAGGAAGGACGGUACCGGUGGAAUAAGCCUCGGCUAACUACGUGCCAGCAGCCGCGGUAAAACGUAGGAGGCGAGCGUUAUCCGGAUUUACUGGGCGUAAAGCGCGUGCAGGCGGAUUGGAGAGUUGGAUGUGAAAGCUCCUGGCUUAACUGGGAGAGGUCGUUCAAUACUUCCAGUCUUGAGUGCAGUAGAGGGAAGUGGAAUUCCGGGUGUAGUGGUGAAAUGCGUAGAUAUCCGGAGGAACACCAGUGGCGAAAGCGGCUUCCUGGACUGUAACUGACGCUCAGACGCGAAAGCUAGGGUAGCAAACG
rnacentral:rRNA from 1 species